rnacentral:rRNA from 1 species
UAGGGAAUCUUCCUCAAUGGACGCAAGUCUGACGGAGCAACGCCGCGUGAGUGAAGAAGGAUUUCGGUUCGUAAAACUCUGUUGUUAGAGAAGAACAGCGCAUAGAGUAACUGUUAUGCGUGUGACGGUAUCUAACCAGAAAGCCACGGCUAACUACGUGCCAGCAGCCGCGGUAAUACGUAGGUGGCAAGCGUUGUCCGGAUUUAUUGGGCGUAAAGCGAGCGCAGGCGGUCAAUUAAGUCUGAUGUGAAAGCCCCCGGCUCAACCGGGGAGGGUCAUUGGAAACUGGUUGACUUGAGUGCAGAAGAGGAGAGUGGGAUUCCAUGUGUAGCGGUGAAAUGCGUAGAUAUAUGGAGGAACACCAGUGGCGAAGGCGACUCUCUGGUCUGUAACUGACGCUGAGGCUCGAAAGCGUGGGUAGCAAACAGG